UAAUGUCUGGGAAACUGCCUGAUGGAGGGGGAUAACUACUGGAAACGGUAGCUAAUACCGCAUAACGUCGCAAGACCAAAGAGGGGGACCUUCGGGCCUCAUGCCAUCAGAUGUGCCCAGAUGGGAUUAGCUAGUAGGUGGGGUAAUGGCUCACCUAGGCGACGAUCCCUAGCUGGUCUGAGAGGAUGACCAGCCACACUGGAACUGAGACACGGUCCAG
rnacentral:rRNA from 1 species